AAACUUAAAUGAAUUGACGGGACCCGCACAAGCGGUGGAUGAUGUGGUUUAAUUCGAUGCACGCGAAAACCUUACCCACCUUUGACAUGUACGGAACCCUUUAGAGAUAGAGGGGUGCUCGAAAGAGAGCCGUAACACAGGUGCUGCAUGGCUGUCGUCAGCUCGUGUCGUGAGAUGUUGGGUUAAGUCCCGCAACGAGCGCAACCCUUGUCAUUAGUUGCUACAUUCAGUUGGGCACUCUAAUGAGACUGCCGGUGACAAGCCGGAGGAAGGUGGGGAUGACGUCAAGUCCUCAUGGCCCUUAUAGGUGGGGCUACACACGUCAUACAAUGGCUGGUACAAAGGGUUGCCAACCCGCGAGGGGGAGCCAAUCCCAUAAAGCCAGUCGUAGUCCGGAUCGUAGUCUGCAACUCGACUACGUGAAGUCGGAAUCGCUAGUAAUCGUGGAUCAGAAUGUCACGGUGAAUACGUUCCCGGGUCUU
rnacentral:rRNA from 1 species